UACGUAGGUGGCAAGCGUUGUCCGGAUUUAUUGGGUUUAAAGGGUGCGUAGGCGGUCUAUUAAGUCAGUGGUGAAAUAUGGCAGCUUAACUGUCAAGGUGCCAUUGAUACUGAUGGACUUGAGUGAAGUCGAGGUUGGCGGAAUUGACGGUGUAGCGGUGAAAUGCUUAGAUAUCGUCAAGAACACCCUAUAGCGAAGGCAGCUUACUAGGCUGUAACUGACGCUGAGGCACGAAAGUGUGGGGAUCAAACAGG
rnacentral:rRNA from 1 species